GCUGGUCCAGACCCACUUAUUCUGAGCAUGGAGGAGUAAGUGCAGAAAGGAUAUCAGAAGCUAAGCAGGUUUGGACCUGGUUAGUACUUGGGUAGAAGACAGCCUAGGAAAACUAGAUGCUGCAAGCU
rnacentral:rRNA from 1 species